AUACGGAGGAUCCGAGCGUUAUCCGGAUUUAUUGGGUUUAAAGGGUGCGCAGGCGGCCAUUUAAGUCAGCGGUUAAAUCGUGGGGCUCAACCCCAUUCUGCCGUUGAUACUGGGUGGCUUGAUUGCGGUCGAGGUUGGCGGAAUUCGUUGUGUAGCGGUGAAAUGCAUAGAUAUGACGAAGAACACCGAUUGCGUAGGCAGCUGACCAGAUCGCAAAUGACGCUCAUGCACGAAAGUGCGGGGAUCGAACAGGAUUAGAUACCCUGGUAGUCCGCACAGUAAACGAUGAAUACUUGUUUUCGGCGAUAUAACGUCGGAGGCAAAGCAAAGCGAUAAGUAUUCCACCUGGGGAGUUCGCCGGCAACGGUGAAACUCAAAGGAAUUGACGGGG
rnacentral:rRNA from 1 species